UAACCGCAGUAGCUGGCACAAAUUUUACCAAUACUAUAUAUUAUUACUAAUUCAAAAUUUCUUUUAUAAUUAAUAUCAAUUACUGCGAAUAAAAUAAAAUUUAAUAAUUUUUAAAAUUAAAAAAUAUUCACACAUAAAUUUACAUGUAAAAUAAAAUAAUAAUAAAAUAUUUAACUAGAAUAAAAUAAUAUUAAUAU
rnacentral:rRNA from 1 species